CCAGGCAGUCAGAGUAGAUCAGCCAAUUGGAGGAAUCCCUAUCGCUACUGUUCCACCUGCAAAUGACAACUUCGAAAUCUUGUUGUUGCGAAGAUUAGAUCAAUGCAUAUGUAAUUUAUGCAAUAAUUCCAUCACUGAGUAUGUUGCGUCGGCAUGUAGACAUUGGUUUGGAUGCAAACAAUGUACGAAACUCUAUGUUCAAGCCUCUUUGGAAAUGAAUGCCUUCUUGAAGUGUCGAUGGUGCCUCCAGGAGUGUCACGGAUUCGAACGUGUUUAUAUCACAUAGGAAUGCCUUGGGAAAAAGGACUGCUUAGGAGGCAUCUUCUGGCUCCAACAACAUCUUACCAUCACAAAUACUCCACUGUUCUCUCAUGUUAUCAGGAUAAACGGGAGGUU